CAAUAGCGUAUAUUAAAGUUGUUGCGGUUAAAAGCUCGUAGUUGGAUUUCUGCUGAGGACGACCGGUCCGCCCUCUGGGUGAGUAUCUGGCUUGGCCUUGGCAUCUUCUUGGAGAACGUAGCUGCACUUGACUGUGUGGUGCGGUAUCCAGGACUUUUACUUUGAGGAAAUUAGAGUGUUUCAAGCAGGCACACGCCUUGAAUACAUUAGCAUGGAAUAAUAAGAUAGGACCUUGGUUCUAUUUUGUUGGUUUCUAGAGCUGAGGUAAUGAUUAAUAGGGAUAGUUGGGGGCAUUCGUAUUAACACGUCAGAGGUGGAAUUCUUAGAUUGUGUUACGACGAACUACUGCGAAAGCAUUUGCCAAGGAUGUUUUCAUUGAUCAAGAACGAAAGUGAGGGGAUCGAAGACGAUCAGAUACCGU
rnacentral:rRNA from 1 species